AUUGAUAUCGGAGCCAGUAACUGUCGCAUGCUUUCUUUCUCUUUCUGUCUUGUGGUCAGUCGCUGUUCGCAAAAAUAAUGACCGAACAUACAUAUCUAACGACCGAACGUAUCGCUCCCCUCCGCCAGACGGCGUACACUGCACGAGAAAGAGCGUGUGAGAGAGAGAAAGAGGGAGAGAAAAUGAGGAAGCGCAUAGAAGGCGCUGCGUAGCAACUGCAGUUUAAUUUGUUUCUUAUGAACACCAAACAUGCCUGUAUCGGACUCAAGAAUAUGUAUUAUCGGGUAUCAGUAUUGAGUAUCGGGUAUAAAAAGAAAGUAAACCUUGUAUCGUGGACACAAUCAACCCCCCCGUCCCAAAUGUAAAAUCGGCACCUUCAACAAAAGCAGUGGAGGAAUAAGAACACAAGUAUUUAGUAUAAUUAAGUCCGAGUGUAAAUAAAUAUUUGAAAGUUUGAAUUUUAUGAAAUAAAUUACACAAAAAAUGAUUA